UUCAGUUUAGAGCGAACUAUUGAGGCGUUUUAACGUGUUGCCGCAGUAUUUCUACGUUAGAAACGUUUACCGACGGUUUAGUUUUUCUUUUUGUUUAACAAAACAUGACAAUUGUUUAUUGGAAUUAUAGCGGUUUCUUUGCUAAUUGAACAAAGAGUUUAAUUAAACGCCCAAAUUGAUUUUUGCAAAAUUUUAUUGCAUAUUUUUAAGAGUUUAAUUAAAAUUAAAAACAGUGUGUGUGUGUGUUUGCAAAACUACUGCUCAUGCGCAAUUGAAAUAAAUAGCCAGAAAAAAUAUAAACAAAAUUUUAAUAAAUAAAUUUUGUGGCUUAGAGAAAAUCAAAACACUUUGUUGACUUUAUGGUGGAUUAUACAACAACAGGUGUUUUUUGAUAUAAGCGUUGCUAGCAAAAACAAAAAAAUUCAAAAAUAAUUGAAAAUUUAAAAAUCAAAACUCUUCACAAAAGAAAUCAAAAGGAACGUGUGUUUAAAGAAAAAAACUAAAACCAGCAACAGAAACAAAAACACUUAAAAGCGGUUAAAUAACACUCCUUAAUCUUAUUUUUAUAUAAGAAAUUAGAAAAAAUAAAUAAACAAAAAAAAAUGUUUUAAACAAAAAAAUAAAAAGAAAAGAUAAUCAUUUUGUAUUCUAAAGAAUACUACCCAUUGUAUAUUUCAGUGUUAAAAUUGUGUGUAAAGUAUCUGUUAAAUGCACAAAACAACAACAAAAAAUGUUCAAAUUGUUUUUAAGUGAAACGUGUUUAUAAUUUAGAAUUUAAACAACGGUCUUUAUUUAAAUCAAACAAAAUUUAAAAAAAUAUCUAACAAAUUUAUUAAUAAAAUAUCUAAGUGAAAAAAAUAAAUAAAAUAAAUUAAUAUAAAUAAAUAUCUGUUUAAGGCUGAUUACGUGUUUGAAAUAUUAUUAAAAAGAUAAAAAAUUUAUUUAAAUUAAAUUUAACCCCAGUAAUACUGAGAUCAUCUUCAUGUUUAACAAAAAAAGUGAAAUAAUCUGAAAGUAAAAUAUUAAAAUAUCGUGUCAUAUUAAAGCUUACAAAGUUAUUUAAUUAAAAUCGUUUUAAAAAUAACAUUUUAAAUACGGCUUAAUUCGAAAAAAAAUCAUUUGUUGACUAAAUUUGUCAUUGAUAAAUAAAUUUGUGUAAAUUUAAAUUUUUCGCUCGUAAAUUUGUGGAUUAUUUUAAAGACCCCAUCUCUUGGUUAUUAUUGUAUAUGGAAGGUGACAACAUCUUGACCAAUCAACUUUAUUAACAGCAACAAUAGAAAAUGCAUAAAAUUAUACUACAACCAGCAACUUAAUCAAAUUGAAAACUCCCUCCCCCAAAUAAAGUGAAACUUAAAUUUGGAGUUAAAAAAGCAACAAACAAACAAAACAUAAAUAUGGCCAAUAAUAAACAACAAAAUGUCAACAGCAAUUGUCAACUAUUAAAGCAACAACAACAAUAACAAAACAGAUACAAAAAUCUUAAUCCUACAAAAGUUAUCAACAUUCAUCUUUACACGUUUAUUUUUAACAAAAAAAUCAAAAAAUAAUCAAAUAAAACUUAAGUAAAACACAAAGUCCUUGAUUACAUGGCAUUAUAAUUGAAAAUUAGCCCAUCACAAGCAACGCCAACUUUAAGACCAAUUUCUGUUGUCGAUCAACCAACAUUCAGUUUACUGUGAACAGCAAUUCUGUGGAAAAAUAUAUCAGUUCAACUUUAAACAGUUUUCGUUGAGAACGUAACAUAAGGAAAUUAAACAAAAAUACACAG